rnacentral:misc_RNA from 1 species
GAUGAAGAACGUAGCGAAAUGCGAUAAGUAAUGUGAAUUGCAGAAUUCAGUGAAUCAUCGAGUCUUUGAACGCACAUUGCGCCCCCUGGUAUUCCGGGGGGCAUGCCUGUCCGAGCGUCAUUGCUGCCCUCAAGCACGGCUUGUGUGUUGGGCCUCCGUCCUCCUCCCGGGGGACGGGCCCGAAAGGCAGCGGCGGCACCGCGUCCGGUCCUCGAGCGUAUGGGGCUUCGUCACCCGCUCUUGUAGGCCCGGCCGGCGCUUGCCGACACAUCAAUCUUUUUUCCAGGUUGACCUCGGAUCAGGUAGGGAUACCCGCUGAACUUAAGCAUAUCAAUAGCGGAGGA